rnacentral:lncRNA from 1 species
GAGAGAACAUGAACAGGGGAGGCAGAGAGAGAGAGAAUCCCAAGCAGGCUCUACACGGCCAGUGCAGAGCCCGACGCAGGGCUCGAACCCAUGAACCCUGAAAGCAUGACCAGAGCCGAAAUCAAGAGUCAGACACUUAACCUACUGAGCCACCCAGGCGCCCCUAAACUUGUUUCUUAAAAUACCUCUGUGCUUCCUUCAUGCAUUUUAGAGGCGUUAGAAAAGCAGGCGUGGUGUUAGUUCCCUAGGGCUGCCGUAACAAAUGACCACAAACCAAGAGGCUUACAAUGACAGAAAUGGAGUCUUUCACAGUCCUGGAGGCUAGGAGUCCAAAGUCUGGCAGGGUCACAUGCCCCCCCCCCCACCCCGGAGCUUCAGGGGAAAAUCUGUACCUUGCCUCUCCCAGCUUCUGGUGGCUCCCAUCGUCCUCGGCCGAUGGCCCCAUCGUUCCAAUCUCUGCCUCCGUCUUCCUGCUUUCUAACUCUGUGUCUGUCUCUGCUUCUUUCUUUAAGGAGGCACAUAGUACUCAUCUGGAUAAUCCAGCAUAAACUCAUCUCCAGAUCCUUGACUUAAACACCUCUUUUGCCACACAAGGUAAUGUUCAUAGGUUCCGGUGACUGGGAGGGUAGACGUAUCCGGUAUCUCUCUGGGACCCACCAUGCAGCCCACCACAGAUUAUUUGCAUUAAGAAGCCAGAGAAGCAAGGAUCCCCACCACUACUCCAUUGGGCUGCCAGAAAUAUAAGCCCGCCAGUAAUUUUAGCGAAUGAGCCGUGGCACACAUAAAGGCCAGAGGAUGGAAACGCUCCGGGUUUUGAUAAAAAAGCAGUUCUGGCUCGGCUCCCUCCUGCUAGUCGCGCAAAGACCUAUCCGGAGAAGGGCUGAUGAAUUGAGGAACAAGAAACGAGGCCAACGAGGUCCUGUGGAACCGCUUAGAACUUUUCGUCUCGGUGGCGGGGUGCUUCUGAGCGCUCACUUGCACGGCAAGUUUGUUUCGUUUUGUUUUUUUAAAGAGCGACAGGCCGAUGUUCACAAGGAAAAUAAACGGGCAUUUUACUGAAUGCCUUGUGUGCACCGUGAGCUUAAUAUACGUGAUCUCUAGGGGCGCCCGGGUGGCUUAGUCGAUUAAGCGUCUGACUCCUGAUUUCGGCUGAGGUCAUGAUCUCAUGUUUUGUGAAAUUGAGCCCCGUGUCGGGCUCUGCACUGAGAGUGUGGAGCCUGCCUGAGAUUCUCCCUCCUCCUCUCUACCCCUCCCCUGCUCGCUUGCGUGCACACGCGCUCUCUCUCAAAAUAAAUAAACUUUUUUUUUUUUUUAAGUUUAAAAA